rnacentral:tRNA from 1 species
GGUGGCUUAGUGGUAGAGUGCUUGCCUUGCAUGCAUGAGGCUCUGGGUUUGAUUCCUCAGUACCA